AUCUUCAGGGCGGAGUGAAAGUCUCCACCGGCGGUGUUGGAACAACGGUUUUAUAUUAGUAAUAAAAGUUUCCUAAGCCCGCGAGCCGUAAGGCAGGAACCAGUGAGAUUCUGGUGCCGACAGUAUAGUCUGGAUGGAAGAAGAGG
rnacentral:ncRNA from 1 species